UACGUAGGGGGCUAGCGUUGUCCGGAUUUAUUGGGCGUAAAGAGCUCGUAGGUGGUUCGGUAAGUCGGAUGUGAAAUCUCCAGGCUCAACCUGGAGGGGUCAUUCGAUACUGCCGUGACUAGAGUGCGGAAGAGGCGAGUGGAAUUCCUGGUGUAGCGGUGAAAUGCGCAGAUAUCAGGAGGAACACCUAUUGCGAAGGCAGCUCGCUGGGGACGUAAACUGACGCUGAGGCGCGAAAAGCCCAGGGGGAGCGAAACGGGG
rnacentral:rRNA from 1 species